rnacentral:rRNA from 1 species
GGUCAAGCUACAAAGGCUAGGGUUGG